GUCGGUAUCGAUUAGGGGUUAAAUCACCUCGUUGUGGUCUGAUAUGUUCAACCCCGAGGAGCCGUUGGUUCGAUUCCAGCUACCGACA